AGGAAGACACACAGGAGAGAAAUGCCAAGAUCAGUCUGAAGGAAGACGUCAUUGAUGCUGUCAGAGUGAAUCACAUCAAUUUUGGGGACUGUGCUCUCGGGAAGCCCUGCCACAGGACCUUCAGCAUCAGCAACCACAGCCAGACGAAGGUCAUGCACUUUGAGUGGGAGGCAGGCGCCCCAUUCCAGUUCUCCCCCAAGGUGGGACACCUCCAUCCUGGCUGUGCCAAGGACAUCACAGUGUCCUUGAAAUCAGAUGUCCCAGCCACCUUCAGGAGGCACCUUGUGAAAUGUAAGGUGACCAAGGUCAACUUUGAGCUGCCACAAAGGAAGGUUCCCGACUGGGAUGACCAAAUGCGCGCU